AAGAAACUGUGGUGCAGAUUGAAGGUUGUGAGAAAAAGAGUUCUUUCUUCGCUAGUUCAUGUGUUGGCCCAACUCUAAGUGAAGUGUGUGACUUUGUUUGCAAGAAUGGGGACAAAUUACUAGGUGGUUCCUGCAAAAAUGAGGAGUGCAUGUGUGUCUGUUGAAUUUGCAACUAUAUAAAUAAAUAAGUAAAGCUAGUUCAUGUUCAUGAAAUAAAUCAGAUCCAAUCAAUGCUCUUCCUUUGUUGAGAAUAAAAUUAAUUAGUAUGAAUUAUAUAUCUCACUACUUGGUUAAGUUACUUGCUGUGCAAGUAACCAAUUGAUGUAGUUAGAUAGUAUUGGGCCUAGUUAGGUGAUUAUAAAUCCAUUUACAAUGUUGUAUAAAUAUGGAUGAAUGAAAACAAGUUGUUGUA
rnacentral:lncRNA from 1 species